UACGUAGGCAGCGAGCGUUGUUCGGAAUUACUGGGCGUAAAGAGGGUGUAGGCGGUGCUCCCAGUCUGUUGUGAAAUCUCCCGGCUUAACUGGGAGGGUGCAGCGGAAACUAGAGUGCUAGAGGGUGGGAGAGGUAAGCGGAAUUCCUGGUGUAGCGGUGAAAUGCGUAGAUAUCAGGAGGAACACCUGUGGUGUAGACAGCUUACUGGACCACUUCUGACGCUAAGACACGAAAGCGUGGGUAGCAAACAGG
rnacentral:rRNA from 1 species